UGGGGGUAGUGCUCUCUGGUUCAGUCGGUUGAUCGUGUGUGUGCUGCUGUCACUGCUUUGACAAGGUGCUAAAGACAGUGCAAACUCUGGCAUAGGUUCUCUUGUCAUUUAGAUUCGACACGGACUAGCUGUAACGCCGAGAGCGUGCCGCGGCAGGAGCAAAUGCAAGCGUCACUUCGGGCCCGACCUACUGCGCCGUAAAGAAGCAUGGAUCACCUUCACUGAAAGACUAAUGCCAGACAAGAAAGCGAUGACCUCAUCGAAACGUGGGAGGCCAAGCUCGUUUCCGAGGUCCUGGAACAACAACGAUGCCUCGUCGCCAGGACCAAGGAGGCAGUGAAGGCCAGAGGGUUCCUGGAAUGAGGAGACCUCCCGCCGAGAGUAGAACUGGGACUAACCCCAGGAUACCGUUUCAAAAAUAAACGUUUGUUCUUCCUC